CCCUUAGAUGUUCUGGGCCGCACACGCGCUACACUGAGGGAGGCAGCGUGUACUCCUGGAUCGAAAGAUUUGGGUAACCCGCGAAUCUCCUUCGUGCUAGGGAUUGAGGUUUGCAAUUAUCCUUCAUGAACGAGGAAUUCCCAGUAAGUGCAAGUCAUAAGCUUGCGCUGACUACGUCCCUGCCCUUUGUACACACCGCCCGUCGCUACUACCGAUUGAAUGAUUUAGUGAGGACUUCAGACUGGGACCGAUGCGGCUUUCGGGCUGCGUCGGUAUUCUGGAAAGAUGUCCAAACUGUAUCAUUUAGAGGAAGUAAAAGUCGUAACA
rnacentral:rRNA from 1 species